AUUUUCUCCUGCUGCUUAUGAGUAAACUCCCUGGUGCGUUCGCAAUUUAUUGUGAUCUAUUUUCCUCUUUCCAAUAAAGAUAAAUUUUACGGCCCCUCUCAAAGCGACCAAUGUGAAAAAAGCCUUCAGAGUGAUAUUAGUGACAAGUAAGGUGCACUGCAUACAGUUGGUACUAAAUACAUGAUACGUGACCGCAAAUUGUUUACUGUCCCACCAUUUUAACACAGGAAAUGCGGAACAAGAACUUACAAUGAGGAAGAGGUAGCAAGAAGUGGCCACGAGAAAAGGCAGUUACUGUUAUUUUUCUUCAACUCCUACUUCUGAUAGAUCCACAAAAAACUUGCUUUGCCUAACUAAAACUUUUAGUUUUAGUUAGGAACCAGGGCUGGAGGUCAGCUGAAGACGUAUUAAGAUAACCUCUGAGCACUGCCAAGAGUCACAUCCGGAUGUGGCUUUCUUCUCCAGCCUGUUGGUUCCCGUCAAUUUAUGCAACAGUCACCUCAAGCGUGUUGUGCCAUUUCACACCUUUGUCCUUCAUGGCCCCAUUGGCAUGGGACCUUCUACACAUUGUCGACAUAGAAAACCUGUCUUCACCUUUGCAAAAUUCGUCUCAGCAGCAGUAUACAGAUGAGAUAACAGAGGCUCAAUAACUCAGAAAAUUGGACCAGAGUGAAUUUUCAUAUCUCCAUUAAAAUUGACAUUCCUGUUGAUAUGAAACCCGAGACUGGCAAAAUGAACUGCAAUAAGACGGAAGAGUCCUCAUGGGCUGAGCUUGUCUUGAUGGGCACCUGCAUUCUUGUGACCUACGUAUAUCUCUGUCUUAGUAUUUAGCACUCUCUACUAUUCAGUGGUCUUGUACCCACUUUGGAAUAAAAGUUCUUUAAGGGCAGGGCUACGUCUUGUUCAUUAUUGUUUCCAUUGCACCUGCCAAAGAGUUAGUGCCCAAUAAAUGUUUGCUGAAUGAAGGGAUGAAUACAUGCAUAAGCUGGUACAUGCCAUGGGCUUCUAAAAUGACCCCUGGCCAACCCUACUGAUUGCCUUUUUCAUGCCUGGUUUGUUUUCAAAGAUUUCUCACAGGAACUCAAGCAAGUGAGUAAGAUCUUUCAAUCGUUCAUUCAUGACAACAGCAUUUUUUUUUUUUUUACUCAUGGGCAUGAACUAUUAAGACCUCUCAGAGGAAAUUAUUUUAAUUACAGAAAUCGGAACAGCUUAAUUGUAAAUGAGCAAUGUGAGCACUUUACAAAAGAGACCACUUGCUUUUUCUAUUUCUUUCACUUCUCUUUAAUAAUUACUAUAACUCACAGUAAAAAUGUUCCCAAGAUUUCAGUAUUCUGGCACACCUUUCUCUUCUAUUUAGAAGAAAUACAAGAUCAAGAAAAUCUACAGUGUCGAUGUUUGAAGACUAGACAAUCACACCUUUUUCUGCUAAUACCUCACUGAACUAAGUUGUGAUUGUAGAGUCAAUAAGCAUCUGGACACAAGAACAGUAAGACAUGAAGGGAACAUAUGCGUGAAAUAAUGGUUACUCCACUAACUAUGGAAACAGUAUAGACAUCUAUAUCUACAUAUAGAUAGGUGAUAGAGAUAUAAAUAGUUUGGAAAUCUGGAAUACAAAUGAAGAUCAUUACUCUUUGACAGAUCUCAAGCUACUACAUCACCUAGGUGAUAACUAAGGGAAUGCAUGGCUUCUCAGCCUAUACUGAGUCAUUAAUCUUUCAGUGGUCUACAAUGUCUUUCCACAUGAACAUCCCAACAAAAGGAGCUAUGGAUCUGUUGGGUACCCACAUGCACUAAGUAUUCAAUUUUUUUGUCAGGGUGGGGGGAGUGGAAUUCUGGAAGGACGUGUAUCUAAAGCCAUCAGAAAUUCAGGGUACUAUUUACAAUAAUGUGGGAGAGGGUACAGAGAUGGAUAAUAUCCCUCCCUGUUAUUCCAACCAUGACAGGAAUGAAAGAAAGGACAAAAGUAAUAUAACAGCAGCAAUAUUUUUUCAAUGUCUGUCACAUCCAAAUUGCAGCAGUACUUGCCGUGACAAAUACUGAAGACAGAAGGGUUGCUCCUUUGGGUACUAAGCUACAACCUCCAGGUGGAGGAGGUCCAUCGCACAGGAAAAUGUUGUGAAAACUUUAAAGGAAUAUAUGUAGAACUCCACAUGAACAUGGUAAAAGCUCAGUGUAGAGGUUCUGAAGAGGUUGAAUGGAAACAACAAAAACAAAACAAACAAAACCAAACACAUACACACACACACACACUCACACACACGCACGCACGCACCUGAUUAGGUGAAAAGAGAUUCCUGAAGACACCAGAAGUGGCAAUGGGCAGAUUUUAGCAAGUGUUGAAUGAAGUAAGAGAUGAUUUGAUGGGAAGAGGAAGCCAUAUGAUGGGUAAGAAACGUGGUGGAGAAAUUGUCCCAUAAGCUUUCAUGUGGGACAAAGCAGGAAUAUAUUUGCUGGAUUAAACUGGGCAUUGGAUUGGGACUUGGACGAUACAGGGUUGCAAGGUGAAUGCGCAACUGAAGACUUGAAACCUAGGCUGCCGACCCAGACCUGUCAAUCUCUUGUAGAUAGGGAUCUGGCAUUCAAGUCUGUUCCCAGCAGACAGCUAAGCGCUUAGUUAAACAUUCCUGAUUAUUGACAAGCAACAUACUGCUGGGAUUUACGAACAUGACGGUGACUUACUGAAAAUAGCAUGUGGUGACGGUAUGUUCUUAGGAUGCCCAAAAUAAGCAACAGAGCCUAAAGGCUGGGAAAGCCGCAUGGAGCGGACAGCAGCCUGCACUUCAGGUGACUGAAACUGAGCAAAUGGGAUGGGAGAGAUAUACAUGGAAAGCACCAUAGAGAGAAAAUGACCUAUAAUGGGCCACAAAGUGAUUGUGCUGCUCCAAAUUAUUAAGCUUUCUUCUUAAUAAAUUGGUUUGUAGAGUUGCUGAGUUUGGAAAAGGAAAUGCAACUGUAGAUGUUGGAAUGAAGACAGAGUAAGAAUUUGAGGCUGCAGAUAGAUAGAAGUUACCUACAAAGUUUCUCUCCACUGCAAAUACUCUGACAUAUCUGUAACCUCUCAAAUAGAUUUUUGACUCAGCAGUGAAAAGUAGAGAGAAAAAUGACACUGUACAGCUAAAAUUAUGGGAUGCUCACAUUAAAUUGCCUGCCCCUUGAAACUGAGUCAAAGUUGUGCUCAGAAAAACUGCUAACCUAAUAUUCUCUGCUCUCCUGAGGGAAGUGAUUUUAAAUCUCACAAUAAAUCAGUUUACAUAUUCUAAAUUAA